CACGCAGUAAACGAUGAAUACUAGCUGUAUGCGAUAUACUGUAUGUGGCAAAGCGAAAGCGUUAAGUAUUCCACCUGGGGAGUACGUUCGCAAGAAUGAAACUCAAAGGAAUUGACGGGGGCCCGCACAAGCGGAGGAACAUGUGGUUUAAUUCGAUGAUACGCGAGGAACCUUACCCGGGCUUGAAAUGCAUCUGACCGACUUGGAAACAGGUCUUCUAGCAAUAGCAGAUGUGUAGGUGC
rnacentral:rRNA from 1 species